rnacentral:other from 1 species
CUGCUAGCCCGCACAAUUGCUGAAGUUUGAGAACUAAAUUUCCCGCGUUGCUGCUGCUGCUGGCGCUGCUGCUGAUGGCGAUGCUGCUGCUGCUGCUGCUGCAGCGCCAGCAGCAGCGUCGCCACUUUUAACAGUCGCUUCGCAGCUGCGAAUGCUGCAGCUGCUGCUGCAGCACUCACAGGAAAAAAUGCUGCUGCAGCAGCUGCUGAUGCACUGGCAGCAGCAGAACGCGCAGCCGCUGCAGCUGCAGCAAGUGCAGCAAUAGCAGCAGCAGGGGUCUAGCUGUCUGCUGCAGCUGCAGCAACUGCAGCAAUGGCGGCAGCAACAGAGGUCUAGCUGGCUGCUGCAGCUGCAGCAAUUG